UACGUAGGGUGCAAGCGUUUGUCCGGAAUUAUUGGGCGUAAAGGGCUCGUAGGCGGUUUGUCGCGUCGGGGAGUGAAAACCAGGUGCUUAACACCUGGCUUGCUUUCGAUACGGGCAGACUAGAGGUAUUCAGGGGAGAACGGAAUUCCUGGUGUAGCGGUGGAAAUGCGCAGAUAUCAGGAGGAACACCGGUGGCGAAGGCGGUUCUCUGGGAAUGACCUGACGCUGAGGAGCGAAAGUGUGGGGAGCGAACAGG
rnacentral:rRNA from 1 species